GACGAACGCUGGCGGCGUGCUUAACACAUGCAAGUCGAGCGGUAAGGCCCUUUCGGGGGUACACGAGCGGCGAACGGGUGAGUAACACGUGGGUGACCUGCCCUUAGCUCUGGGAUAAGCCUGGGAAACUGGGUCUAAUACCGGAUAUGACUCCAUGACGCAUGUUGUGGGGUGGAAAGCCUUGUGCGGCUAGGGAUGGGCCCGCGGCCUAUCAGCUUGUUGGUGGGGUGAUGGCCUACCAAGGCGACGACGGGUAGCCGGCCUGAGAGGGCGUCCGGCCACACUGGGACUGAGACACGGCCCAGACUCCUACGGGAGGCAGCAGUGGGGAAUCUUGCGCAAUGGGCGAAGGCCUGACGCAGCGACGCCGCGUGGGGAUGACGGCCU
rnacentral:rRNA from 1 species